rnacentral:misc_RNA from 1 species
AACGCACAUUGCGCCUCCUGGUAUUCCGGGAGGCAUGCCUGUUCGAGCGUCAUUAAAAACCACUCGGGCCAUUUUUUAAUGGUUCGGUAUUGGGAGAGGAGGAGCGCGCACCCGUUGCCCCUCCCUUCCGAAAUCCAAUGGCGGAGAGCCCCACGUGCCCCGGCGUAGUAAGUCUUCUUUCGCUCGGAGCGUCGGGUGAUCCCGCCGUCAAACCCCCAAUUCUUCACAGGUUGACCUCGGAUCAGGUAGGGAUACCCGCUGAACUUAA